rnacentral:rRNA from 1 species
AGCAGCCGCGGUAAUUCCAGCUCCAAUAGCGUAUAUUAAAGUUGUUGCAGUUAAAAAGCUCGUAGUUGAAUUUCGGGGUUAGUAGGCUGGUCGUGCCACAGGUAUGCACUGGUCUUACUGAUUCCUCCUUCCUGAUGAACCGUAAUGCCAUUAAUUUGGUGUUGCGGGGAGUCUGGACUGUUACUUUGAAAAAAUUAGAGUGUUUAAAGCAGGCUAACGCUUGAAUACAUUAGCAUGGAAUAACGAAAUAGGACGUUCGAUCCUAUUUUGUUGGUUUCUAGGAUUGACGUAAUGAUUAAUAGGGAUAGUUGGGGGCAUUAGUAUUCAAUUGUCAGAGGUGAAAUUCUUGGAUUUAUUGAAGACUAACUACUGCGAAAGCAUUUGCCAAGGAUGUUUUCAUUAAUCAAGAACGAAAGUUAGGGGAUCGAAGACGAUCAGAUACCGUCGUAGUCUUAACCAUAAACUAUGCCGACUAGGGAUCGGAUGAUGUUAAUUUUUUAAUGACUCAUUCGGCGCCUUACG